CAUAAUUUGGGGGGACGGGGCAUGCCAGGAACACAAGUCCUCCGUGGAGAGUGAGCACACACCAUGUCUCUACUUUAAGCCUGGUGAGGUCUGAAUAACAGUCAUAGAAUUCUCAGAUGACAGUUUCCAUCCAGACUAAAUCCAUCCCAGGGGCUGACUAUCUCCACUGCAGUGAAAGAUCAAGUCUUGCCUGGAUCCUAGACCGGCCACUCCACCGCUGGAGAAUCUGAGCACCUGUCUCCCCUUUGCCCACGGCUUCGUUCUCAGGGAGGCCAGCAGCCACACUGUAUCAACUCUGCUUGUGGAGAGUGCUUUUUGCAAAGAUCUGAGGGCAGCCACUGACCAACAGUCAGCAUGGUGUUGAGGCUCCCAGCACAACAGCCUUGAAGAAAUAAAAGCUGCUAACAACCCGUCAGUGAGCUUGGAAGCCAGUCCUCCCGCAGUUGAGUCUGCAGGGUUUAUCCAGGACAACCACAUCCAGGAACUUUCCCUUCCCACUGAGCUGCUCCUAGCAUUGGGGAAGCUAUGCUGCUGGUUUCCAGCAGGAGACACACAUCAGCCAUUGUGAAGAAGGAAGAGGUCCUUCCUGGACUGAGCAAGUCUACACAGUCGUUUCCAUCACCCAGAGGUCAAAACCUCUCUCCCCUUUGAGAAUGUCUCCUGAUGAUUACACAGCACCUGGGCACAGAGAAGUUAAGCAUCUUCACCAAGAUUGUAGAGCCACUUCAUACUAUUAAAGUUCUUACAGAUGUCCCAUGGUUAUGAAGAUGGACCAAAUGGAAACUUAAACUCUGCACUGUCCUUACAGCUGUCCUGUGAAUCUAAAAUUGUUCCAAAGUAAAAAUUAAAAAUAAAAAGAUGAA